rnacentral:rRNA from 1 species
AUUGAACGCUGGCGGCGUGCCUAACACAUGCAAGUCGAGCGGUAACAGGUGUAGCAAUACAUGCUGACGAGCGGCGAACGGGUGAGUAAUGCUUCGGAAUCUACCCAAUGGUGGGAAUAACCAGCCGAAAGGUUGGCUAAUACCGCAUACGUCCCACGGGAGAAAGCGAGGGGAUCGCAAGACCUUGCGCCAAUGGAUGAGCCGAAGUCGGAUUAGCUAGUUGGAGGGUAACGGCCUACCAAGGCGACGAUCCGUAGCUGGUCUGAGAGGACGACCAGCCACACUGGGACUGAGACACGGCCCAGACUCCUACGGGAGGCAGCAGUGGGGAAUAUUGGACAAUGGGGGAAACCCUGAUCCAGCGACGCCGCGUGUGUGAAGAAGGCCU